rnacentral:sRNA from 1 species
UUAAACUUUGCGAGAGCAUUUGGGCCCACAGUCACCGCUGGCUGAAGCAGAUGGGAUGCCUGGUCCAAGGUCACGAUUAUUAAAGUAGACACACGGGGCACUUUGACCCACCUGUAGUACAUUUCUUUCACAGCAAGGCAGUGCAACCGGUAGCACAUCGGGCUCUUUUAGAUGCUGCUCCAGCCUUGGUCCGGUGGAUCAUGCUUGGUUUAGAAGCUGGGUUGUCUUUUUCCUGCCCCCAGUCCUGUCUUUGCUUUUAUAGUGCGUCAUACACCACGUAGAACCGAGCCAGGUUCCUGCCAUGUGGACGCUGUUCCUGCCUGAGAGUCUCUUAGAGGAAGGCUGGGAACACUGUGUGGAAAGACUGGGCAUCUCUGCAGGCAGAGCUGAAUGGAUGUGAAACCCCUGUGGGCAUGUGCUUCCGAGUUCCUCAGCAGGCAUUUGUGUUUUUUGGUAGAAAGUUUGCCUUUUUUUUUUUUUUUUUUUUAAGACAAGGUCUCAUUCUGUCACCCAGGCUAGAGUACAGUGGUGUGAUCAUAGCUCACUGCCGUCCUUGAACUCUCAGACUCACGUGAGCCUCCUACCUCAGCCUCCUGAGUAGCUGAGACUACAGGCGCAUGCCGCCACCCCUGGCUAAUAUUUUUAUUUUUUGCAGAGACAGGGGUCUCACUACAUUGCCCAGGCUGGUCUCAAACUCCUGGCCUCAAGCAAUCCUCUCACAGCCUCCCAAAGUGCUGGUAUUACAGGUGUGAGCCACCACACCUAACAAAAGUUUGCUUUUUAUCUAAAAUGACCCAGGCAUUGUCACUGUACUGCUAUUUUUUUUUUUUAAUGUUGUUGUUUUGUUGUUGUUGUCGUCGUUAUAUAGAUGAGGGCUUCCUGUGUUGCCCAGGCUGGUUUCUGACGCCUGGCCUCGCCUCCUUAUACACCAGGACAGCAGGACUGAGCCACCACACUACCCAACUGCUUUUAUCUCAGUGAAUGAAAAUGACACUUGCCUGGAGGCUUCCCCUCAUCUACCCCCAUGUUUCUCUAUUUAUUCCUCAGUUAAGUGGGCAGACCAACAUCCACCUCAGCAAAAACUUCUUCCUGACGAAUCGCGCCAGGGAGCGCUCAGACACCUUCAUCAACCUCCGGGAGGUGCUCAACCGCUUCAAGCUGCCGCCAGGAGAGUACAUUCUCGUGCCUUCCACCUUCGAACCCAACAAGGAUGGGGAUUUCUGCAUCCGGGUCUUUUCUGAAAAGAAAGCUGACUACCAAGCUGUCGAUGAUGAAAUCGAGGCCAAUCUUGAAGAGUUCGACAUCAGCGAGGAUGACAUUGAUGAUGGAUUCAGGAGACUGUUUGCCCAGUUGGCAGGAGAGGAUGCGGAGAUCUCUGCCUUUGAGCUGCAGACCAUCCUGAGAAGGGUUCUAGCAAAGCGCCAAGAUAUCAAGUCAGAUGGCUUCAGCAUCGAGACAUGCAAAAUUAUGGUUGACAUGCUAGAUUCGGACGGGAGUGGCAAGCUGGGGCUGAAGGAGUUCUACAUUCUCUGGACGAAGAUUCAAAAAUACCAAAAAAUUUACCGAGAAAUCGACGUUGACAGGUCUGGUACCAUGAAUUCCUAUGAAAUGCGGAAGGCGUUAGAAGAAGCAGGUUUCAAGAUGCCCUGUCAACUCCACCAAGUCAUCGUUGCUCGGUUUGCAGAUGACCAGCUCAUCAUCGAUUUUGAUAAUUUUGUUCGGUGUUUGGUUCGGCUGGAAACGCUAUUCAAGAUAUUUAAGCAGCUGGAUCCCGAGAAUACUGGAACAAUAGAGCUCGACCUUAUCUCUUGGCUCUGUUUCUCAGUACUUUGAAGUUAUAACUAAUCUGCCUGAAGACUUCUCAUGAUGGAAAAUCAGCCAAGGACUAAGCUUCCAUAGAAAAACACUUUGUAUCUGGACCUCAAAAUUAUGGGAACAUUUACUUAAACGGAUGAUCAUAGCUGAAAAUAAUGAUACUGUCAAUUUGAGAUAGCAGAAGUUUCACACAUCAAAGUAAAAGAUUUGCAUAUCAUUAUACUAAAUGCAAAUGAGUCGCUUAACCCUUGACAAGGUCAAAGAAAGCUUUAAAUCUGUAAAUAGUAUACACUUUUUACUUUUACACACUUUCCUGUUCAUAGCAAUAUUAAAUCAGGAAAAAAAAAUGCAGGGAGGUAUUUAACAGCUGAGCAAAAACACUGAGUCACUCUCAAAGGACACGAGGCCCUUGGCAGGGAAUAUUUAAAGCAACUUCAAGUUUAAAACACAGCUGUUGAUUCUACCAAACAACAGUCCAAGAUUACCAUUUCCCAUGAGCCAACUGGGAAACAUGGUAUAUCAUGAAGUAAUCUUGUCAAGGCAUCUGGAGAGUCCAGGAGAGAAGACUCACCUCUGUCGCUUGGGUUAAACAAGAGACAGGUUUUGUAGAAUACUGAUUGGUAAUAGUAAAUCGUUCUCCUUACAAUCAAGUUCUUGACCCUAUUCUGCCUUAUACAUCUGGUCUUACAAAGACCAAAGGGAUCCUGCGCUUGAUCAACUGAACCAGUAUGCCAAAACCAGGCAUCCAAUUUGUAAACCAAUUAUGAUUAAGGACAAAAUAAGCUGUUUGCCACCUCAAAACUUUAUGAACUUCACCACCACUAGUGUCUGUCCAUGGAGUUAGAGGGGACAUCACUUAGAAGUUCUUAUAGAAAGGACACAAGUUUGUUUCCUGGCUUUACCUUGGGAAAAUGCUAGCAACAUUAUAGAAAUUUUGCCUUGUUGCCUUAUCUUCUUCCAAAUGUACUGUUAAAUAAAAAUAAAGGGUUACCCCAUGCAAUCACACCAUGCCAUGUUUUCCUUCCUGGAGGGCAGCCCCACAGGACGGUUUAUGAGCACACGAUUAUAGCUUGUUUCUACUUUAACAAGGUAUGCUGCCUCUGUAAAUUCAUGUAUUCAAAGGAAAAGACAUCUUGCCUAUAAUUAAAAUGUGGAACUAUAAAAUUUUUUAAAAUCCAA